UAAUUCGUUACUUGCAAUCAGCUUUGAUUGUUUUUUCGAUUAGUUACUUUUUUUUUAUGAAAGGUACCUUUUCGGCAUGAAUUAAUUGUAGUUUAAUUCGAGAGCGGUGCGUACUGUUCGAGAACUAUCGCUAAAAUUCUGCGCAGUUGGUUGUUGACGCGUUUCUUGUCGGCUGACGUGUACGGGAAUUCGUACGUGUGUAUCUACAAAAGUCAGUGCAACUAUAGUGGAAUUUGAAAAUUUUUCGAUUU
rnacentral:misc_RNA from 1 species